CCAGUGAAGCGUGGCUCUUCAAAAUAUACUGUUUCUCGGGUGGCCCAAAUGCUCUUCCCUCUGUCUGACCAGUUCCUGCUGAUCACAGGAAGAUUUAGGGUGGAGGACGUCUACUCCAGCCCCUGAAAUCAAGGAGGUGUUUUACAUCUUGUCCCAAGUACGACUACUACAUGCAUCAUGAGGCUAAACUACAAUAAGCAGUUGGCAAUGAGUGAAAGCACCUUCCAGCCAACGUUUAUUCUUACUGCUUUCUUCAUGCAUGCAGGGACUAACAGUCUGCUCCAGGUACCUCUGAAGUCUGGAUGUGUAGAGACUCUGCCUGGGAGGCAAAUAAAAAAUCUGGGAUCUGCUUGGCUCUGCUGGCCUCCACCAGUGCCCCUGGCUAUAGCUUUUCUUCUUCUGUGUUCUUCAGCUAGUUUCUACUUUUCUGCAACAUGUCCUUAAAAACCUUCUGGGCCUGAGAGAUGCUGAAGAAGUCAGAUACUCCUGAUUUACUGUAGUCCGAGCAACAAAUAGGACCAGACCUUUGUAUCUGCACAGAAAGUUCCUGAAGUUGUAGGAGAUGAUCCAUGCAGAGCUGCUUUGAAAACCAGGACGUCAGGCUUCACAUUCCUUGUGCACAGACCAAGGACUGGCAGAACAGGGUCUGUGCACCAUGGGAGCGAUGUGAGUACCUGAGCUGCCUGCAUAUCUGAAGACAAGAUGUUGUGUUGAUACCCCAGCCAAAAGAGGUAGAAGGACCCUCCUGGGGUGUGCAUAUCACUUGGGCUUCUUGGGAUUCCUGAAACAUGGAGCUUACCUGAGGAGUAGCCUUCCCUGAGGACUGGCAGGCGAGACAGGGUCAUUAAUAAGCGCAAAGCACACUGAGGUCUUCACAAAGCAGAUCUUGUGGAAGCACAAAAUGGCCCCAUCAUUCAUUUAUUUUGCAAAACCACAAGCUAUUUUGGGGAUCUGCUGACUCAAAACAAGCUGGUUCAGAUUGUCAUGUCAUUUAUAAUAGAGGUUCUUAGGGAAAUUAGGGUGAUCUCAGGAUCUUUUAAUGAAAUACAAAAUACAGCUCAUGUUCAGUAUGUACGUUCAGCAUAACACUUGUACAAUUGCCAGGGAUCUCUGAUAUGAACAUGAGAGUCUUUAUAAGCAGCUGAUUUUUGAGUCAAUGGGCUGUAACACUUUUGAAAUCAAUGAUUAUUUAAGAACUCCUAAAACUGCACAUUGUCUAGCUGCUGCGCACACAAACAUUGGAUCUACUCUGCUCUCUGUUGGCUCUCUGCAAAUGGAUAAUUUGGUUCUGAGGUCUGAAGGCUGAGUGUGGAUUAUACACCUCUUUUCUAGCCCAGCCAGUAAAACAUUCACCAUACAGCUUUGCAGCAGUUUUUUAUUUCAGGAGGAGCUGAAAAUACUCAGCACUUUUCAGGUGUGGUUCCAGGACACUCAUGGAUUAUCAUAAAUAAGCUAUUUAUGGCCACAAAGAGAUCUGCUUAAUUAGGAUUUCACCAGUGCUGACGUUUACACAGUUCAUUUUGAUUUUUUUUUUUUUUUUUUUACAUUCUGUGUGAUACCUCAGAGUUUACAACUUGGUAUAUAAGCACCAAUCUUCAGAUUUAGAAGCUGCAAAGCUACCAUCUAUCCAUUGUUCUUUGGGCGUUUCUGUCCUCUCAUAUUUUGAAACGGGUAAGAUGAGUUCCAGUAAAGCUUAAGUUUGGAUGAGAUGUUAAAGAACAGCACAUGUUCUGCCUUGAAAUCCUCCAAUGCUACUUUUCACAAGAGAUUUCCUCCAGUAUAUUUAGCUGACCUCUAUUCUGAGAGUUCCUGUGUGAAAGUGAUAAAUUGUGCACACAUGACUAGUAUCAACACAAAGAUGAUUGUACUUUCUAGAAAUUAGACGGGUGGGCAGGUCACAAUGACAAGAGCAAAGGAUAUGUUGUAUGAGUUUGUGGUGACUUCAGAGCAUCAUAUCACGUUAUGUAGAGCAGGUAUGUAGUGCUGUAUGAGAUGAAGACUGUACUUGGAUCACACCAUUUGCCCCCAUGGAUUUAUUCCAGAUGACAUGGAAUUUGCAACAGCACUUGUUUCACAAAAACAUCACAACCUAGAAAUUUUUCCUCUUUCCUG